AACGAACGCUGGCGGCGUGCUUAACACAUGCAAGUCGAACGGAAAGGCCCUGCUUUUGUGGGGUGCCGGGGUGGCGAACGGGUGAGUAACACGUGAGUAACCUGCCCUUGCCUUUGGGAUAACUUCAGGAAACUGGGCCUAAUACCGGAUAGGAGCCCCUCUUCCAGGGUGGGGGUUGGAAAUUUUCGGCGGUUGGGGAUGGACUCGCGGCUUAUCAGCUUGUUGGUGGGGUAGUGGCUUACCAAGGCUUUGACGGGUAGCCGGCCUGAGAGGGUGACCGGCCACAUUGGGACUGAGAUACGGCCCAGACUCCUACGGGAGGCAGCAGUGGGGAAUAUUGCACAAUGGGCGGAAGCCUGAUGCAGCAACGCCGCGUGCGGGAUGACGGCCUUCGGGUUGUAAACCGCUUUCGCCUGUGACGAAGCGUGAGUGACGGUAAUGGGUAAAGAAGCACCGGCUAACUACGUG
rnacentral:rRNA from 1 species